rnacentral:rRNA from 1 species
GGUUAAGUGACUAAGCGUACAUGGUGGAUGCCUUGGCAGUCAGAGGCGAUGAAGGACGUACUAACCUGCGAUAAGCCGUGAGCAGUCGGUAAGAGACAUUACGACUCACGGAUUUCCGAAUGGGGAAACCCACCCGAGAUAACUCGGGUAUCUGUUACUGAAUACAUAGGUAACAGAGGCGAACCGGGAGAACUGAAACAUCUAAGUACCCCGAGGAAAAGAAAUCAACCGAGAUUCCCUCAGUAGCGGCGAGCGAACGGGGAUUAGCCCUUAAGCAUCUUGGAAGUUAGUGGAACGGUCCUGGAAAGGCCGGCGAUACAGGGUGAUAGCCCCGUACACGAAAACAACCUUGAUGUGAAAUCGAGUAGGGCGGGACACGUGACAUCCUGUCUGAAUAUGGGGGGACCAUCCUCCAAGGCUAAAUACUCCUGACUGACCGAUAGUGAACCAGUACCGUGAGGGAAAGGCGAAAAGCGAACCCACUAACGUUGCAAAGUUAGGGGAUGACCUGUGGCUGGGGGUGAAAGGCCAAUCAAACUCGGAGAUAGCUGGUUCUCCCCGAAAGCUAUUUAGGUAGCGCCUCGGACGAAUACUACUGGGGGUAGAGCACUGUUUGGGCUAGGGGGUCAUCCCGACUUACCAACCCCAUGCAAACUCCGAAUACCAGUAAGUAAUAUCCGGGAGACACACGGCGGGUGCUAACGUCCGUCGUGAAGAGGGAAACAACCCAGACCGCCGGCUAAGGUCCCAAAGUUCUGGUUAAGUGGGAAACGAUGUGGGAAGGCUCAGACAGCUAGGAUGUUGGCUUAGAAGCAGCCAUCAUUUAAAGAAAGCGUAAUAGCUCACUAGUCGAGUCGGCCUGCGCGGAAGAUGUAACGGGGCUCAAACCAGGCACCGAAGCCGCGGAUUCACGCUAAGCGUGAGUGGUAGGGGAGCGUUCUGUAAGUCUGCGAAGGUGURUCGAGAGGYAUGCUGGAGAUAUCAGAAGUGCGAAUGCUGACGUAAGUAACGAUAAAGGGGGUGAAAAGCCUCCUCGCCGGAAGACCAAGGGUUCCUGUCCAACGUUAAUCGGGGCAGGGUGAGUCGACCCCUAAGGUGAGGCCGAAAGGCGUAAUCGAUGGGAAGCAGGUUAAUAUUCCUGCACGACUUGUAAUUGCGAUGGGGGGACGGAGAAGGCUAGGUGGGCCAGGCGACGGUUGUCCUGGUGAAAGUGCGUAGGUGGUGUUUCUAGGCAAAUCCGGAGACACAACACUGAGACACGAGACGAACGCACUACGGUGCGGAAGCCAUUGAUGCCCUGCUUCCAGGAAAAGCCUCUAAGCUUCAGAUUACAAGUCAUCGUACCCCAAACCGACACAGGUGGUCGGGUAGAGAAUACCAAGGCGCUUGAGAGAACUCGGGUGAAGGAACUAGGCAAAAUAGUACCGUAACUUCGGGAGAAGGUACGCUCUUGUUGGUGAAGUCCCUUGCGGAUGGAGCUGACGGGAGUCGCAGUGACCAGAUGGCUGGGACUGUUUAUCAAAAACACAGCACUCUGCAAACACGAAAGUGGACGUAUAGGGUGUGACACCUGCCCGGUGCCGGAAGGUUAAUUGAUGGGGUUAGCGCAAGCGAAGCUCUUGAUCGAAGCCCCGGUAAACGGCGGCCGUAACUAUAACGGUCCUAAGGUAGCGAAAUUCCUUGUCGGGUAAGUUCCGACCUGCACGAAUGGUGUAACCAUGGCCAUGCUGUCUCCACCCGAGACUCAGUGAAAUCGAAUUCGCCGUGAAGAUGCGGUGUACCCGCGGCUAGACGGAAAGACCCCGUGAACCUUUACUACAGCUUGGCACUGAACAUUGAACCUACAUGUGUAGGAUAGGUGGGAGGCUUUGAAGGCGUGACGCCAGUUGCGCUGGAGCCGUCCUUGAAAUACCACCCUUGUAUGUUUGAUGUUCUAACGCAGGGCCCUGAAUCGGGCUCGCGGACAGUGCCUGGUGGGUAGUUUGACUGGGGCGGUCUCCUCCCAAAGAGUAACGGAGGAGCACGAAGGUUGGCUAAUCCUGGUCGGACAUCAGGAGGUUAGUGCAAUGGCAUAAGCCAGCUUAACUGCGAGACGGACAGGUCGAGCAGGUACGAAAGUAGGUCAUAGUGAUCCGGUGGUUCUGAAUGGAAGGGCCAUCGCUCAACGGAUAAAAGGUACUCCGGGGAUAACAGGCUGAUACCGCCCAAGAGUUCAUAUCGACGGCGGUGUUUGGCACCUCGAUGUCGGCUCAUCACAUCCUGGGGCUGAAGUCGGUCCCAAGGGUAUGGCUGUUCGCCAUUUAAAGUGGUACGCGAGCUGGGUUCAGAACGUCGUGAGACAGUUCGGUCCCUAUCUGCCGUGGGCGUUGGAUGAUUGAAGGGAGUUGCUCCUAGUACGAGAGGACCGGAGUGAACGAACCUCUGGUGUUCGGGUUGUCACGCCAGUGGCACUGCCCGGUAGCUAAGUUCGGAAUCGAUAACCGCUGAAAGCAUCUAAGCGGGAAGCGAGCCCUGAGAUGAGUCAUCCCUGACCCCUUGAGGGUCCUAAAGGGCCGUUGGAGACCACAACGUUGAUAGGUGGGGUGUGUAAGCGCGGCGACGUGUUGAGCUAACCCAUACUAAUUACCCGUGAGGCUUAACCAU